GACGAACGCUGGCGGCGUGCUUAACACAUGCAAGUCGAACGGAAAGGCCCUGCUUUUGUGGGGUGCUCGAGUGGCGAACGGGUGAGUAACACGUGAGUAACCUGCCCUUGACUUUGGGAUAACUUCAGGAAACUGGGGCUAAUACCGGAUAGGAGCUCCUGCUGCAUGGUGGGGGUUGGAAAGUUUCGGCGGUUGGGGAUGGACGCGCGGCUUAUCAGCUUGUUGGUGGGGUGGUGGCUUACCAAGGCUUUGGCGGGUAGCCGGCCUGAGAGGGUGACCGGCCACAUUGGGACUGAGAUACGGCCCAGACUCCUACGGGAGGCAGCAGUGGGGAAUAUUGCACAAUGGGCGGAAGCCGGAUGCAGCAACGCCGCGUGCGGGAUGACGGCCUUCGGGUUGUAAACCGCUUUCGCCUGUGACGAAGCGUGAGUGACGGUAAUGGGUAAAGAAGCACCGGCUAACUACGUG
rnacentral:rRNA from 1 species